GGCUGCCCGAGCCGCCGCCAUUAGGGACGUUGACUCGGUUGCAGGGGCUGAGGUUGCUCCCUCCCGCCGCCAUCUUGAAGUGGCGUCUGUUUACAAACAGCGAGCUCAACAGCGUGGCCCUCCGUAAAGGAGGCUGGGAGUGACAGAAAUCAUCAGGUGAAAAUCAUCAUUGGGUAGGAAUUUGGACCAGGAACCUUGGCUGUUUCUUCAGUUCUAGCGGUGCAUCAGAACCAACAGAAUGCAAAUGCAGAUGGGCACAUCUACAAACAGUGUCGCCACAAGAAAGCAGCAGCGAUCAUCCAGGCACGCUCUCUUCUCUCUGCUGCCAUUGGGAAGGAGGUGCAGGGGCCUUAGGUCCCACGCCACCAGGUUCAGGAGUAGUUAUUACCCUUCAACCGUCAGGCUCCUGAACCAGCGUGGGCCUCUUCAAUCAGCACAACACUGAACAUAACCAUAGACUCACUUUCAGCUAUACUAACUGGGUGCAUCACCGUCUGGUAAGGAGGGGCCGCUGCACAGGAUCGGAAAAAGCUGCAGAAAGUUGUAAACUCAGCCAGCUCCAUCAUGGGCACCAGCCUCCUCAGCAUCGAGGACACCUUCAAAAGGCAAUGCCUCAAAAAGGCGGCGUUCAUCAGUAAGGACCCCCAUCACCCAGGACAUGCCCUCUUCUCAUUGCUACCGUCUGGUAGGAGGUACAGAAACCUGAAGACACACACUCAGUGUUACAGGAACAGCUUCUUCCCCUCCACCUUCAGGAUUUCUGAGUAGACAA